rnacentral:rRNA from 1 species
GAUGAACGCUGGCGGCGUGCCUAAUACAUGCAAGUCGAGCGAACAGACGAGGAUCUUGCUCCUCUGACGUUAGCGGCGGACGGGUGAGUAACACGUGGAUAACCUACCUAUAAGACUGGGAUAACUUCGGGAAACCGGAGCUAAUACCGGAGAAGAUAUUGAACCGCAUGGUUCAAUAGUGAAAUACGGUUUUGCUGUCACUUAUAGAUGGAUCCGCGCCGCAUUAGCUAGUUGGUAAGGUAACGGCUUACCAAGGCAACGAUGCGUAGCCGACCUGAGAGGGUGAUCGGCCACACUGGAACUGAGCCACCGUCCAGACUCCUACGGGAGGCAGCAGUAGGGAAUCGUACGCAAUGGGCGAAAGCAUGACGGAGCAACGCCGCGUGAGUGAUGACGGUCUUCGGAUCGUAAAACUCUGUUAUUAGGGAAGAACAAAUGUGUAAGUAACUAUGCACGUCUUGACGGUACCUAAUCAGAAAGCCACGGCUAACUACGUG